AUAAGCAAUUAUACGGCGAAACUGCGAAUGGCUCAUUAUAUAAGUUAUCGUUUAUUUGAUAGUACCUUACUACUUGGACAACCGUGGUAAUUCUAGAGCUAAUACAUGCUAAAAAUCCCGACUUCGGAAGGGAUGUAUUUAUUAGAUUAAAAACCAAUGCCCUCCGGGGCUCCUUGGUGAUUCAUGAUAACUCCUCGAAUCGCACGGGCUUGCGCCGGCGAUGGCUCAUUCAAAUUUCUUCCCUAUCAACUUUCGAUGUUUGGGUCUUGGCCAAACAUGGUUGCAACGGGUAACGGAGGGUUAGGGCUCGACCCCCGAGAAGGAGCCUGAGAAACGGCUACUACAUCCAAGGAAGGGAGCAGGCGCGCAAAUUACCCAAUCCCGACUCGGGGAGGUAGUGACAAUAAAUACUGAUACAGGGCUCUUUUGGGUCUUGUAAUUGGAAUGAGUACAAUUUAAAUCCCUUAACGAGGAACAAUUGGAGGGCAAGUCUGGUGCCAGCAGCCGCGGUAAUUCCAGCU
rnacentral:rRNA from 1 species